rnacentral:rRNA from 1 species
UACGAAGGGGGCUAGCGUUGCUCGGAAUCACUGGGCGUAAAGCGCACGUAGGCGGACUCUUAAGUCGGUGGUGAAAUCCUGGAGCUCAACUCCAGAACUGCCUUCGAUACUGGGAGUCUCGAGUCCGGGAGAGGUGAGUGGAACUGCGAGUGUAGAGGUGAAAUUCGUAGAUAUUCGCAAGAACACCAGUGGCGAAGGCGGCUCACUGGCCCGGUACUGACGCUGAGGUGCGAAAGCUAGGGGGAGCAAACGGGGAUUAGAA